rnacentral:rRNA from 1 species
AUUGAACGCUGGCGGCAGGCCUAACACAUGCAAGUCGAGCGGAUGAAGGGAGCUUGCUCCUGGAUUCAGCGGCGGACGGGUGAGUAAUGCCUAGGAAUCUGCCUGGUAGUGGGGGAUAACGUCCGGAAACGGGCGCUAAUACCGCAUACGUCCUGAGGGAGAAAGUGGGGGAUCUUCGGACCUCACGCUAUCAGAUGAGCCUAGGUCGGAUUAGCUAGUUGGUGGGGUAAAGGCCUACCAAGGCGACGAUCCGUAACUGGUCUGAGAGGAUGAUCAGUCACACUGGAACUGAGACACGGUCCAGACUCCUACGGGAGGUAGCAGUGGGGAAUAUUGGACAAUGGGCGAAAGCGUGAUACAGCCAUGCCGCGUGUGUGAAGAAGGUCUUCGGAUUGUAAAGCACUUUAAGUUGGGAGGAAGGGCAGUAAGUUAAUACCUUGCUGUUUUGACGUUACCAACAGAAUAAGCACCGGCUAACUUCGUG